rnacentral:rRNA from 1 species
AGAAUCAACGCUGGCGGCGUGCCUAACGCAUGCAAGUCGAACGAGAAAGUGGAGCAAUCCAUGAGUAAAGUGGCGCACGGGUGAGUAACACGUGACUAACCUACCCUUGAGUGGGGGAUAACCUAGAGAAAUCUGGGCUAAUACCGCAUAAUACCUUCGGGUCAAAGGAGCAAUUCGCUUAAGGAGGGGGUCGCGGCCGAUUAGUUAGUUGGCGGGGUAAUGGCCCACCAAGACUAUGAUCGGUAUCCGGCCUGAGAGGGCGCACGGACACACUGGAACUGAAACACGGUCCAGACUCCUACGGGAGGCAGCAGUGGGGAAUUUUGCGCAAUGGGGGAAACCCUGACGCAGCAACGCCGCGUGGAGGAUGAAGUCCCUUGGGACGUAAACUCCUUUCGAUCGGGACGAUAAUGACGGUACCGAGAGAAGAAGCCCCGGCUAACUUCGCGCCAGCAGCCGC